AACCUCUUUUAGCAGGGAAGAAGCGAAAGUGACGGUACCUGCAGAAAAAGCACCGGCUAACUACGUGCCAGCAGCCGCGGUAAUACGUAGGGUGCAAGCGUUAUCCGGAAUUAUUGGGCGUAAAGAGCUCGUAGGCGGUUUGUCGCGUCUGCUGUGAAAACUGGGGGCUCAACCCCCAGCCUGCAGUGGGUACGGGCAGACUAGAGUGCGGUAGGGGAGAUUGGAAUUCCUGGUGUAGCGGUGGAAUGCGCAGAUAUCAGGAGGAACACCGAUGGCGAAGGCAGAUCUCUGGGCCGUAACUGACGCUGAGGAGCGAAAGGGUGGGGAGCAAACAGGCUUAGAUACCCUGGUAGUCCACCCCGUAAACGUUGGGAACUAGUUGUGGGGUCCAUUCCACGGAUUCCGUGACGCAGCUAACGCAUUAAGUUCCCCGCCUGGGGAGUACGGCCGCAAGGCUAAAACUCAAAGGAAUUGACGGGGACCCGCACAAGCGGCGGAGCAUGCGGA
rnacentral:rRNA from 1 species